rnacentral:rRNA from 1 species
AGUAAAAGUCGUAACAAGGUUUCCGUAGGUGAACCUGCGGAAGGAUCAUUAUUGAAAUAUCUGAGAGGGGUUGUCGCUGGUCUCGUCAGAGGCAUGUGCACGCGCCGAUCGAUCUCCAUACACCUGUGCACCUUCUGUAGGGCUUGGCGGAUGCGCGAGCGUCCUGUCGGGCUCUACGUUUUUACACACCCCAACGUAUCAGAAUGUCUUGUUAUUCUGCCGUAACACGCAGAAGAAUUAAAUACAACUUUCAACAACGGAUCUCUUGGCUCUCGCAUCGAUGAAGAACGCAGCGAAAUGCGAUAAGUAAUGUGAAUUGCAGAAUUCAGUGAAUCAUCGAAUCUUUGAACGCACCUUGCGCUCCUUGGUAUUCCGAGGAGCAUGCCUGUUUGAGUGUCAUUAAAUUCUCAACCCCCUGUCGGUGCGAACCGAUGCGGUGGCUUGGACUUGGAGCGUGCUGGCGCGAGUCAGCUCCUCUUGAAAUGCAUUAGCGGGUCACUUCUCUCGCGGUUGGUGUGAUAAUUAUCGACGCCUAUACGCCGUGUUUGUCGAGUGUCUGCUCAUAACCGUCCUCGCGGACAACUUAUACCAUCGUGACCUCAGAUCAGGUAGGACUACCCGCUGAACUUAAGCAU